GACGAACGCUGGCGGCGUGCUUAACACAUGCAAGUCGAACGGAAAGGCCCUGCUUUUGUGGGGUGCUCGAGUGGCGAACGGGUGAGUAACACGUGAGUAACCUGCCCUUGACUUUGGGAUAACUUCAGGAAACUGGGGCUAAUACCGGAUAGGAGCUCCUGCUGCAUGGUGGGGGUUGGAAAGUUUCGGCGGUUGGGGAUGGACUCGCGGCUUAUCAGCUUGUUGGUGGGGUAGUGGCUUACCAAGGCUUUGACGGGUAGCCGGCCUGAGAGGGUGACCGGCCACGUUGGGACUGAGAUACGGCCCAGACUCCUACGGGAGGCAGCAGUGGGGAAUAUUGCACAAUGGGCGGAAGCCUGAUGCAGCAACGCCGCGUGCGGGAUGACGGCCUUCGGGUUGUAAACCGCUUUCGCCUGUGACGAAGCGUGAGUGACGGUAAUGGGUAAAGAAGCACCGGCUAACUACGUGCCAGCAGCCGCGGUGAUACGUAGGGUGCGAGCGUUGUCCGGAUUUAUUGGGCGUAAAGGGCUCGUAGGUGGUUGAUCGCGUCGGAAGUGUAAUCUUGGGGCUUAACCCUGAGCGUGCUUUCGAUACGGGUUGACUUGAGGAAGGUAGGGGAGAAUGGAAUUCCUGGUGGGAGCGGUGGAAUGCGCAGAUAUCCGGAGGAACACCAGUGGCGAAGGCGGUUCUCUGGGCCUUUCCUGACGUUGAGGAGCGAAAGCGUGGGAGCGAACAGGCUUAGAUACCCUGGUAGUCCACGCUGUAAACGGUGGGUACUAGGUGUGGGGUCCAUUCCACGGGUUCCGUGCCGUAGCUAACGCUUUAAGUACCCCGCCUGGGGAGUACGGCCGCAAGGCUAAAACUCAAAGGAAUUGACGGGGCCCCGCACAAGCGGCGGAGCAUGCGGAUUAAUUCGAUGCAACGCGUAGAACCUUACCUGGGUUUGACAUGGAUCGGGAGUGCUCAGAGAUGGGUGUGCCUCUUUUGGGGUCGGUUCACAGGUGGUGCAUGCCUGUCGUCAGCUCGUGUCGUGAGAUGUUGGGUUAAGUCCCGCAACGAGCGCAACCCUUGUUCACUGUUGCCAGCACGUUAUGGUGGGGACUCAGUGGAGACCGCCGGGGUCAACUCGGAGGAAGGUGGGGAUGACGUCAAGUCAUCAUGCCCCUUAUGUCCAGGGCUUCACGCAUGCUACAAUGGCUGGUACAGAGAGUGGCGAGCCUGUGAGGGUGAGCGAAUCUCGGAAAGCCGGUCUCAGUUCGGAUUGGGGUCUGCAACUCGACCUCAUGAAGUCGGAGUCGCUAGUAAUCGCAGAUCAGCAACGCUGCGGUGAAUACGUUCCCGGGGCC
rnacentral:rRNA from 1 species